AUUGAACGCUGGCGGCAGGCCUAACACAUGCAAGUCGAGCGGUAGCACAGAGAACUUGCUCUCGGGUGACGAGCGGCGGACGGGUGAGUAAUGUCUGGGAAACUGCCUGAUGGAGGGGGAUAACUACUGGAAACGGUAGCUAAUACCGCAUAACGUCGCAAGACCAAAGUGGGGGACCUUCGGGCCUCAUGCCAUCAGAUGUGCCCAGAUGGGAUUAGCUGGUAGGUGGGGUAACGGCUCACCUAGGCGACGAUCCCUAGCUGGUCUGAGAGGAUGACCAGCCACACUGGAACUGAGACACGGUCCAGACUCCUACGGGAGGCAGCAGUGGGGAAUAUUGCACAAUGGGCGCAAGCCUGAUGCAGCCAUGCCGCGUGUGUGAAGAAGGCCUUCGGGUUGUAAAGCACUUUCAGCGGGGAGGAAGGCAUUAAGGUUAAUAACCUUAGUGAUUGACGUUACCUGCAGAAGAAGCACCGGCUAACUCCGUGCCAGCCGCCGCAGUAA
rnacentral:rRNA from 1 species